UUCUUGAUGCUGUUUACUGUUCCCCACAUUGAAGAGUUGGAGACGCCUUAGACUGCAGCAGAGUCCAGCUGGAUCUGCUGCCUACUGCUUUGGGCUAUAUGACCGGACUAGAACUUGGCUUCAGUCAUAAAGAGGAGUUGUCUUAUGCUGCCGACUAAAUUGCUGCAGGAAGAUGGCUACAAGCUCAAGGACUACUUCAGAAGACAUGCUGCUUAUUGUAUCAGCAACUGAAUAGAUAACUUCUGUGUUCAUCUAAUUAUGACUAGUUUGUAUUGACUUUUCAACCCGUUUCCUGACUUGGAUGUUUAUUUCAUAAUAAAUUGUUCAUAAAUUCAA